UUCAAGUGCAUAAGGAGUUGUGUUGGGAGCUAUAAAUAUGGACUUACAAGGUUGUAUUUCAUGUGGAUGUGCGUAUGAUGUGCCAUAGCAACAUGACAUCUUGAUUAGCAUCAUCUCAUUCCUGUCAGCCCCAGCCACACUCUAUCCAGGCUCACCCGAAGGAAAGCAGAAUGACGUCGUCAGGCUGCCGGGAGAGCCGUUCCUGACACCUCACAGUUACUGACGGAGAAGCCCUACUAUACGAGAUUAAUUUUAAAGGGAGAACACAUACGUUAUAUUGCUAGAUGCCGGAGUGUCUAUCAGUAGUGCACUUUUUUGAUGAAACACAGCAAGUAUCAACACAGCGAACUCUGAAUUGUUACCUGGCACCCUUCCACCAAACAGGAUUUCUGCCUCCUUCUCAAGACUGAUUCAUCUCUAGUUCACAAACAAUCUGGCAUUGAAAUAUUUAAGGCACCUACUCCUUUGAGGUCACUGGGAAGGCAAAGAAUGAGAUCACACCAUAUAAAAGAAAAUUGUGGCAUCUUCUCAGCAAAUA